rnacentral:rRNA from 1 species
AAGGUAGCGAAAUUCCUUGUCGGGUAAGUUCCGACCUGCACGAAUGGCGUAAUGAUGGCCAGGCUGUCUCCACCCGAGACUCAGUGAAAUUGAACUCGCUGUGAAGAUGCAGUGUACCCGCGGCAAGACGGAAAGACCCCGUGAACCUUUACUAUAGCUUGACACUGAACAUUGAGCCUUGAUGUGUAGGAUAGGUGGGAGGCUUUGAAGUGUGGACGCCAGUCUGCAUGGAGCCGGCCUUGAAAUACCACCCUUUAAUGUUUGAUGUUCUAACGUGGACCCGUGAUCCGGGUUGCGGACAGUGUCUGGUGGGUAGUUUGACUGGGGCGGUCUCCUCCUAAAGAGUAACGGAGGAGCACGAAGGUUGGCUAAUCCUGGUCGGACAUCAGGAGGUUAGUGCAAUGGCAUAAGCCAGCUUGACUGCGAGCGUGACGGCGCGAGCAGGUGCGAAAGCAGGUCAUAGUGAUCCGGUGGUUCUGAAUGGAAGGGCCAUCGCUCAACGGAUAAAAGGUACUCCGGGGAUAACAGGCUGAUACCGCCCAAGAGUUCAUAUCGACGGCGGUGUUUGGCACCUCGAUGUCGGCUCAUCACAUCCUGGGGCUGAAGUAGGUCCCAAGGGUAUGGCUGUUCGCCAUUUAAAGUGGUACGCGAGCUGGGUUUAGAACGUCGUGAGACAGUUCGGUCCCUAUCUGCCGUGGGCGCUGGAGAACUGAGGGGGGCUGCUCCUAGUACGAGAGGACCGGAGUGGACGCAUCACUGGUGUUCGGGUUGUCAUGCCAAUGGCACUGCCCGGUAGCUAAAUGCGGAAGAGAUAAGUGCUGAAAGCAUCUAAGCACGAAACUUGCCCCGAGAUGAGUUCUCCCUGAGACUUUAGGUCUCCUGAAGGAACGUUGAAGACGACGACGUUGAUAGGCCGGGUGUGUAAGCGCAGCGAUGCGUUGAGCUAACCGGUACUAAUGAACCGUGAGGCUUAACCUU